GUGCCAGCAGCCGCGGUAAUACGAAGGGGGCUAGCGUUACUCGGAAUUACUGGGCGUAAAGCGUGCGUAGGUUGUGUGGUAAGUUGGAAGUGAAAUCCUUAAGCUUAACUUAAGAACUGCUUCCAAAACUACUAUACUUGAGUUUCAAAGAGGAUAGCGGAAUUCCUAGUGUAGAAGUGAAAUUCGUAGAUAUUAGGAGGAACACCAAAAGCGAAAGCAGCUAUCUGGGUGAAUACUGACGCUGUUGCACGAAAGCGUGGGGAGCAAACAGGAUUAGAU
rnacentral:rRNA from 1 species